GUGCUCUUCCGAUCUCUCGAUCGUUCAUACCUGAAUACAUAGGGUAUGAAACGCGAAACCCGCUGAAGUGAAACAUCUCAGUAAGCGGAGGAAAAGAAAGAGAAAUCGAUUCCGUAAGUAGUGGCGAGCGAAAGCGGAUGGAGCCCAAACCGAAGGUAUUCCUUCGGGGUUGUAGGACCACGUCAUAUUCGACCAUACUGGAUAGUAGAACAGCCUGGAAAGGCUGGCCGGAGAAGGUGAAAGCCCUGUAGACGAAAUCCAGAGUGGGAAUUAGUGGUAUCCUGAGUAAUACAUCACACGUGGAACGAUGUAUGAACCCGCGCGGACCACCGCGCAAGGCUAAAUACUAGUUGGCGACCGAUAGUGAACAAGUACCGCGAGGGAAAGGUGAAAAGAACCGCUGUGAGCGGAGUGAAAUAGAACCUGAAACCGUAUGUCUACAAAGUGUCAGAGCAGAGCAAUCUGCGAUGGCGUGCCUUUUGUUUAAUGAGUCUGCGAGUCAGUGUUUGUGGCAAGACUAAGGGCUUCCGGCCCGGAGUCGCAGCGAAAGCAAGUCCGAACAGGGCGCAAUAAGUCGCAGGUACUGGACCCGAAGCGGAGGUGACCUACCCUUGGCCAGGUUGAAGCAUGGGUAAAACCAUGUGGAGGACCGAACAGGUGAACGUUGAAAAGUUCUCUGAUGAGCUGAGGGUAGGAGUGAAAGGCUAAUCAAACCCCGUGAUAGCUGGUUCUCUUCGAAAUGCAUUUAGGUGCAGCGUCACGUGCUGAUGCGCGGGGGUAGAGCACUGACAAGGCUAGGGGGCACACCCGCUUACCAAACCUUAUCAAACUCCGAAUACCGUGCAAUGGAACGUGGCAGUGAGACAGUGGGGGAUAAGCUUCAUUGUCGAGAGGGAAACAACCCAGACCAGCAGCUAAGGUGCCUAAAUAACGCUCAGUGGAAAGGAUGUGGGAUUACACAGACAGUGAGGAUGUUGGCUUAGAAGCAGCCACCAUUUAAAAAAUGCGUAAUAGCUUACUCAUCGAGUGAUCCUGCGCCGAAAAUGAUUGGCGAUCAAGCGUUAUACCGAAGCUCUGGACUUUGCCGCAAGGCAGAGUGGUAGAAGAGCGUUGCAUGCGCGUCGAAGGGCGAUGGCGACUGACCCUGGAGCACAUGCAAGUGAGUAUGCAGACAUGAGUAACGUUAAGCCGGGUGAAAUCCCCGGCCGCCGUAAACCCGAGGUUUCCAGGGCAACGUGUUUCGUCCCUGGGUUAGCCGGGACCUAAGCCGAGGCCGAGAGGCGUAGGCGAUGGACAUCAGGUUAAUAAUCCUGAGCUCGCAACCCUUAAACUGGGGGGACGCAUGAGAAAAGAUGACUAGGUUAUUGAAUUCCGAGUUGAGUCCACGGACUCAGCGCAUCAUUGGAUCGAGUGCCAAGAAAAGCCCCAGCGUAUGCUAAGCGACCCGUACCGCAAACCGACACAGGUGGGUGGGUAGAAUAUACCAAGGCGUAAGAGUGAAACCUGGUUAAGGAACUCGGCAAAUUAGCCCCGUAACUUCGGAAGAAGGGGUGCCUGCAGCGAUGCAGGCCGCAGAGAAAUGGCCCAACCGACUGUUUAUCAAAAACACAGCACUCUGCAAAGACGCAAGUCGAAGUAUAGGGUGUGACACGUGACCAAUGCCGAAAGAUUAAGGCAAGGGGUUAGCCGCAAGGCGAAGCUCUAAACCCAAGUCCCGGUGAAUGUCGGCCGUAACGAUAACGGUCCUAAGGUAGCGAAAUUCCUUGUCGGGUAAGUUCC
rnacentral:rRNA from 1 species